CCCCUCCACGUGAGGAGACCUUAGAAGCAUGGCAACCAUAGAAUUUCAUUAGAACCAUGGCAACCAUAGAACUUCAUAAUCCUCUCAGCCAGCCAGCAGCAUUGGCCUCCACAGACACAUCAAAUGGCAGCAGCUCUCCUCCCAGCCACAAAUGGAGCAUGGCCAUCAUCAACUUUGAUAGACAGCCAAGAUGGGGGGGAGGGUGUGUAUGUGUAUGUGUGUGUGUGUGUGUGAUUGUGUGUGAGAGAGAGUGUGUGUGUGGUGUGUGAGAGAGAGAGAGUGAGAGAGAGAGAGAGAGUGUGUGAGUGUGAGAGAGAGAGAGAGAGAGAGAGAGAGAGAGAGAGUGUGAGAGUGUGUGUGUGUGUGUGUGUGUGUGAGACCUGCUACUCUUUUUCAGCGUGAGGUUGUUGGCUCCAGAGGUUUGCCAGUUUUUCUGCUUCAUGCGUAUUAAACAUGAACCAUACUGGGAGAUGGUAAUGAGAACAGAACAGUUAACGCUCUCUGCCUGGGUCCUGUUGGAGCAUGCUGUAUGUGAGUGGGUGUGUCUGCACAUGUGCCUGUGUUUCUCCAACUGUUCCUCAGAGUACUGUAUUAUGUGUGUGUGUGUGUGAUCAUAAAGUUAGUGCUGAAGCUGAUGAGAUCAGGCUGAAGCUGAUGAGAUCCACUGUGCUGUGCUGAGAUGAGAUCCACUGUGCUGAGAUCCACUGUGCUGAGAUCCACUGUGUUGAGAUGAGAUCCACUGUGCUGUGCUGAGAUCCACUGUGCUGAGAUGAGAUCCACUGUGCUGAGAUGAGAUCCACUGUGCUGAGAUGAGAUCCACUGUGUUGAGAUGAGAUCCACUGUGCUGAGAAGAGAUCCACUGUGCUGAGAUGAAAUCCACUGUGCUGAGAUGAGGUCCACUGUGCUGAGAUGAAAUCCACUGUGCUGAGAUGAGGUCCACUAUGCUGAGAUCCACUGUGCUGAGAUGAGAUCCACUGUGCUGAGAUGAGAUCCACUGUGCUGAGAUGAGAUCCACUGUGAUGAGAUGAGAUGAGAUCCACUGUGUUGAGAUGAGAUCCACUGUGUUGAGAUGAGAUCCACUGUGCUGAGAUGAGAUCCACUGUGCUGAGAUGAGAUCCACUGUGCUGAGAUCCACUGUGUUGUGAUGAGAUCCACUGUGCAGAGAUGAAAUCCACUGUGCUGAGAUGAAAUCCACUGUGCUGAGAUGAGAUCCACUGUGCUGAGAUGAGAUCCACUGUGCUGAGAUGAGAUCCACUGUGCUGAGAUCCACUGUGCUGAGAUCCACUGUGCUGAGAUCCACUGUGCUGAGAUGAGAUCCACUGUGCUGAGAUGAGAUCCACUGUGCUGAGAUGAGAUCCACUGUGCUGAGAUGAGAUCCACUGUGUUGAGAUGAGAUCCACUGUUGAGAUGAGAUCCACUGUUGAGAUGAGAUCCACUGUGUUGAGAUGAGAUCCACUGUGUUGAGAUGAGAUCCACUGUGUUGAGAUGAGAUCCACUGUGUUGAGAUGAGAUGAGAUCCACUGUGUUGAGAUGAGAUGAGAUCCACUGUGUUGAGAUGAGAUCCACUGUGCUGAGAUGAGAUCCACUGUGCUGAGCUGAAAUCCACUGUGUUGAGAUGAGGUCCACUAUGCUGAGAUCCACUGUGUUGAGAUGAGAUCCACUGUGCUGAGCUGAAAUCCACUGUGUUGAGAUGAGGUCCACUAUGCUGAGAUCCACUGUGUUGAGAUGAGAUCCACUGUGUUGAGAUGAGAUCCACUGUGCUGAGAUGAGAUCCACUGUGCUGAGAUGAGAUCCACUGUGCUGAGAUGAAAUCCACUGUGUUGAGAUGAGGUCCACUAUGCUGAGAUCCACUGUGUUGAGAUGAGAUCCACUGUGCUGAGAUGAGAUCCACUGUGCUGAGAUGAGAUCCACUGUGUUGAGAUGAGAUCCACUGUGUUGAGAUGAGAUCCACUGUGUUGAGAUGAGAUCCACUGUGCUGAGAUGAGAUCCACUGUGCUGAGAUGAGAUCCAGUGUACUGAGAUGAGGUCCACUGUGUUGAGAUGAGGUCCACUGUGCUGAGAUGAGAUCCACUGUGCUGAGAUGAGAUCCACUGUGCUGAGAUCCACUGUGCUGAGAUCCACUGUGCUGAGAUCCACUGUGCUGAGAUCCACUGUGCUGAGAUGAGAUCCACUGUGCUGAGAUGAGAUCCACUGUGCUGAGAUGAGAUCCACUGUGCUGAGAUGAGAUCCACUGUGUUGAGAUGAGAUCCACUGUUGAGAUGAGAUCCACUGUUGAGAUGAGAUCCACUGUGUUGAGAUGAGAUCCACUGUGUUGAGAUGAGAUCCACUGUGUUGAGAUGAGAUCCACUGUGUUGAGAUGAGAUGAGAUCCACUGUGUUGAGAUGAGAUGAGAUCCACUGUGUUGAGAUGAGAUCCACUGUGUUGAGAUGAGAUCCACUGUGCUGAGAUGAGAUCCACUGUGCUGAGCUGAAAUCCACUGUGUUGAGAUGAGGUCCACUAUGCUGAGAUCCACUGUGUUGAGAUGAGAUCCACUGUGUUGAGAUGAGAUCCACUGUGCUGAGAUGAGAUCCACUGUGCUGAGAUGAGAUCCACUGUGCUGAGAUGAAAUCCACUGUGUUGAGAUGAGAUCCAGUGUACUGAGAUGAGGUCCACUGUGUUGAGAUGAGGUCCACUGUGCUGAGAUGAGAUCCACUGUGCUGAGAUGAGAUCCACUGUGCUGAGAUGAGAUCCACUGUGUUGAGAUGAGAUCCACUGUGUUGAGAUGAGAUCCACUGUACUGAGAUGAGGUCCACUGUGUUGAGAUGAGGUCCACUGUGUUGAGAUGAGGUCCACUGUGUUGAGAUGAGGUCCACUGUGUUGAGAUGAGGUCCACUGUGUUGAGAUGAGCCUGCUAGGCUAAAUUCUGGUUAACACUUUUGGACUGUGUCGCAUUUCACUCUCACCCCUGGUCUCUCUCUCCCCAAGUCUCUCUCUCUGAAUUUAAUUAAAUUCACUAUCUCUCUACAGUCUCUCUCUCUACAGUCUCUCUCUCUACAGUCUCUCUCUCUACAGUCUCUCUCUCUAGUCUCUCUCUCUACAGUCUCUCUCUCUACAGUCUCUCUCUCUACAGUCUCUCUCUCUACAGUCUCUCUCUCUACAGUCUCUCUCUCUACAGUCUCUCUCUCUACAGUCUCUCUCUCUACAGUCUCUCUCUCUUUCUCACCUGCGGUGUCUCUUGAUGAGAAGUCUGUCCAUGUAACUGAGACUGUGUUGGGUGAACUCCACCUUCACUGGUCUUCUCUCAGCCCCACUGUCACUCAGGUCUGACUGGGUCCCCAUCACUUCCACUGAUACUACACGGAGAGAGAGAGAGAGAGAGUAAAAGAAAAGAGAGAAGGGAGAUUUGGAGAAGGGGAAGGGGAGAAAGGGAGUUGGGCGGAAAGAGAAAGAAAGGCAGAGACAGAAAAGGUAAGGAGAAGGAGAAGGGAUGGACAGAGGGAGAAAGAGAGGCAGAGGGAGAAAGAGAGGCAGAGGGAGAAGGGAUGGACAGAGGGAGAAAGAGAGGCAGAGGGAGAAAGAGAGGCAGACACGUUAUGGCACUACUCUGGACACAUUUGGUGCAAUGCCAGCUUUACAUUAGGUUUCCCUGCCAAUGGGUUGACAGAAGAAAUGAGGCAAAAUGCAGAAAUAAAGGGAGUGAAGCAAAGUCUGUACAAGCAUUAGAGAACUAAUAAAACGGCCAAACACAUUCUCAAGUUAGGCUGCUAUCACUGCUAUCAUUAUCUCUACAGUGGAACCCCUCCUAUCACUGCUAUCAUUAUCUCUAUAGUGGAACCCCUCCUAUCACUGCUAUCAUUAUC
rnacentral:lncRNA from 1 species